AACAGGGGCUGAACAGGGGAUUGAGUCUCCACGUUUUGGGUUGAAUAAAAAUUGCCAGGUGGAGGUUGUCAGGGGGAAGGUGUUAAAUGGAAACACUAUAUAUAAACUGCAUGCUUUUUGCAAGGGACUGUGGCUUUCCUGCCCAGCCUGCCACCGCUGAACUGUAUAUAAGGUGGUUCUUCUCUUCAGCCCACUGUCAGUGGGCUCCCUCCCCCGUAUGUAAGCCCCCAGCAAACUCCAUUUCUUGUUUGCUGGCUCAGAGCCUCUUCUUUGGCCUCUUAAAAUAGGGGUUCGGCAUGACACCAUUGUGUGCAUAGAGGAGGCACGCGGAGGAGAGCGAACAGACUCCCAAAGUAAAACUUCAUCUACUCCUGAAUUUUGCCUGGACCCCACUCGGGUGGCCACAGGCGUGGAUUCGCAGUUGCGCUAUCUGCAUUGGAGCCCAUCUGCUGCUUUUCCUUGGACAAUGGCUGCCCGUUUAGGGUUGUGACCCAGGAGUCGCUGUGGUUAUCAACUGCGAGAGCUCAAACGGACACAUGAGAAGCAGCUUUGUUUAGCGUCCUUGACAUAACUAACCACAUAUUAACAACAGAGCCUUGUGGUAUAGAGGCUCCUGUUUGUUCAGAAUCUUAAUAGGUGGGCUUUGUGCACAUGGAUUUCUAAUACUGCUUACCCUGUAUUUUAAGUCAAAGAGGGUCUUUGUGUGAAGGAUUCUCCACCUCCUUUUCCCUUUCUACGAAGGAGGCACAAAGCUGAUCAUUCAGUGGAGUCCAUUCUCACCAUGAGAAGAACAUUCUACUGUCAGCAGGCAGAGUGAGGAUGGAGACAUCACUGAUUCACUUGGCUAGUUCCAUGUGGGCAUUCCAUGUCCAUGGAUGAAUGGAUAAGUAACUGAUCCACAAGAGGAGGCAGGACCUAUUCUAUCAAGGAUCGGUAAUUGGGAAUAAGCUUCUCAUUUCAUCCUAAAGGAUUCUGUCACUCCACUGAAAUCUUAAGAGUCUCCAGUGCUUGUUAGGAAAGUGUGGAAGAUGAACCCCUUCUUCAUCCACAGGGGACAACUUCAGGAGAGGGCUCUGCUGGCAUCCCCAAACUCGCACUUGGAAUCAUAAUGGUGCUAUGAGACGAGCGAACACAGUAAGCUGGGGAGAUGAGUGAUUGCAUCUGAUGUUGGAGGACUAGAUCCUGCAGGAAGGUUAGCGGGGAACAUCCCCACGGUCACUGUUUGUUUGUUUACCUAACUUCAAAAUUCUCUCUGGAGCUGCUUAGACAAAGCCUGACUUAUCUUCCCAAAGAUGAAACACUGG
rnacentral:lncRNA from 1 species